UUCGGAUGUAAUUCUUUUAUUGAGAGAAAAAUAGUGGAAAAACUAUAUUGACGUUAUUCAAUGAAUAAGCCCCGGCUAACUAUGUGCCAGCAGCCGCGGUAAUACAUAGGGGGCGAGCGUUAUCCGGAAUUAUUGGGCGUAAAGGGUGCGUAGGCGGCUUGAUAAGUCACUAGUUUAAUUUCAGCGCUUAACGCUGUCCUGCUAGAGAAACUGUCUUACUAGAGUGAGAUAGAGGCAAGCGGAAUUCCAUGUGUAGCAGUAAAAUGUGUAAAUAUGUGGAGGAACACCAGAGCCGUAGGCGGCUUGCUGGGUCAUUGCCGCGCGUUUGCUUCGACAUUGAAUAACGUCAAUAUAGUUUUUCCACUAUUUUUUCUUCUUCAAUAAAAGAAUUUUACAUACCGAAGUACUUCAUCAUUCACGCGGCGUUGCUCG
rnacentral:rRNA from 1 species